CCGGGCGGCGGGAGGAAGGGAGGACGCGCCCGGGCAUCGCUGCCGGGCUUUUGGGUUCCUGCCGAAUCGACGCCCUCCCCUCUCCCUCCCUUCUCCCCCCCUCGUCCUUCCCACGCGCUCCCGCCUGGCCUGCGCCUCCCCUCCCUUCCCUUCUCCCUCCCAUCCCGCAGCAAACAAAAUGGCUGCUGCAUGGCCAUUUUGUUUUCCGUCUGGAAAGGGGGAAGCCAGGACGCUGAGACUUGGCUCUUUUUUGGAGCCCAACUCUCCCGUCUCUACGUGGCACCGGCUGUAGUGAGAGAGGGGAAAAAAAAGAGCGAGAGAGAGAAAAAAAAGGACCUUUUGGAACGAGACCAAAGUCAGAGGCAGAGAGUGGGUAGUUUUGGCGUAUGUUGAGCACUGAAAAUGCCUGGAAUUGCCAAACUGAGCUUUUGUACUAGCAGCGUAACGGCUACCCGGUGCCUGCAGCGUCGCAGGGCUGCACGGUAUAGCCGGACGGAAAGGUUUGUUCGCUAUACUAAAUAAAACAGCCCUCCUUUCUUCUGUGUUUAUAAAGUACCAGAGAGCACUGUUGUCUCAUUUGCUUUUGGACGGGCGGAUGGCUUUACACAUCGGCUUGGUAUGAUUAGAGCUGGUCAGUGCCGGACGGUAACGUUUUAACCUGUUGUGUGUCCUCUUGCUGUUGGUGACUCUGAUACCCGACCUGGAUUUAACUGAUGUGAUCCGGAGGAUCGGCUUGGUUUUCUGUAGGCAUUUCUCUUUUGUUUACUGCCUUCUUGCCUCGAAAGUUUUCCUCUCAGGAAUACAAAAUCUUAAUUUAAAUGUUAAAAGAAAGAGCUGUUCCUGGCUUUUUUUUUUUUUUUUUUUUUUAAGCCCUCGCUUUUCUCACGGGGAUGGAGCUGAACUGUGUUCACAAGCUGCUUACUGCACCAGCCUGUGUAUCCUGCACACGUUAAGGUGUGAUACACGACAGAGACGCCAUCAACAGUAACAUGCCUCGAAAAGUUUAAGGGAACUUGGUGCUGUUACCAUACAAUUUUGCGCAGAAGCAUGGCAAAAAUACCACAGAAUGUGCCAAAUAAAAGUGAUUUGUUUUUUGGUUCUUUCAAGUGAAUCUGCGUUUCCUGCCGUAGCCUGGAUGUCUUGGAGGUAGUGGCCACGUCUCUUCGCUCGCAGCCGUUCGGAUCUCAGUCAAGUGGCAUGGGUGGGAUCGGGCUCUGCUCAGGCAUCGCUGUUGGAGCCAUCGUCCUGCCUUCCCCUGAGGGGCUGCCCAGCCAUCGGGAGAGGAGCGGACGCUUGCAGAGAGGAGCUGGGAGCAGAAAGAGGUGAAAUCGCUUUUCUCGCACAGAAAGGAGCUUCGGAGUAGCCAACACCUGAAUCAGGAUCAUCUCACUGCCUUAGAGUGCCAUGGUCCCAAGCUGUCCUUGAGGCUGAGGUAGUAGAUUGAAUAGUUGUGGAGUCCGGUCCUCCCUUUGAGCUAACUAUACAAUCUACUGUCUUUCCUAAGGAGACAGUCAGGUCUUCAGUUCUCAUCUUCUACACCAGGCGUGGAGGCAGGUGGUGCGAGUAAUGCAAAGCCAGUGAUACGGCGUGCGUCAGCCAAGACCUCUGUACUGCUCUGUGGAGGUGAGGUAGUAGGUUGUAUAGUUUGGUGGGAGGGAUUUUAUCCCAUUUCAGGUGAUAACUAUACAGUCUAUUGCCUUCCUUAAAGAGCAGCAAAACCUCUGGAGGACUGGCUCAGCCACGUUGGUCCUGAGGCAUCACUUCUCUCUGUUGAGGGUCCCAAAACACAGCACAGCAUUGUCGAACAGCUCGGUGGCUCUUCUCUUACAGCACCCAGGACUGUGUUCUUCCAGGGACUGCUCCAUGCCUCAGCUAUGCGUAUGGAGCCACCCUCCUGCAUAAAAUCAAUCUGUUUCAUGGGUGCAAGAGAAACAAUGAAUUGAGCUGGUGCAUCA